rnacentral:RNase_P_RNA from 1 species
ACGGGCCGGCAGACGGUCGCGUCGUCCUCCUCGGAGGGCGCCGAGGAACGUCCGGGCUCCACAGAGCAGGGCGGUGGGUAACACCCACCCGGGGUGACCCGCGAGAAAGUGCAACAGAGAGCAGACCGCCACGGUCGCGCCGCCUUCGGGCGGAGCGGACGGGGUAAGGGUGAAACGGUGGUGUAAGAGACCACCAGGGGCCCGAGUGAUCGGGCUCGCUGGGUAAACCUCGCCCGGAGCAAGGUCAGACAGACACCGAUUGAAGCUGCUCGCCGAGGUGUCGGGUAGACCGCUGGAGGGCUGCGGCAACGCAUCCCCGAGAAAGAUGGCCGUCACGGACUCGUCCGUACAGAACCCGGCGUAUCGCCGGCCCGUUCCU